UACAGAGGGGGCAAGCGUUGUUCGGAAUUACUGGGCGUAAAGGGCGCGUAGGCGGCCAUCUAAGUCAGACGUGAAAUCCCCCGGCUUAACCUGGGAACUGCGUCUGAUACUGGAGGGCUCGAGUGCGGGAGAGGGAUGUGGAAUUCCAGGUGUAGCGGUGAAAUGCGUAGAUAUCUGGAGGAACACCGGUGGCGAAGGCGGCAUCCUGGACCGACACUGACGCUGAGGCGCAAAAGCUAGGGUAGCAAACGGG
rnacentral:rRNA from 1 species